rnacentral:piRNA from 2 species
UGUGAAGAUAGCCAAUCUGCCUAUAUUUCA